CCUACGGGAGGCAGCAGUGAGGAAUAUUGGUCAAUGGACGCAACUCUGAACCAGCCACGCCGCGUGCAGGAAGACGGCUCUAUGAGUUGUACACUGCUUUCGUACGAGGGUAAAUCCCGAUACGUGUAUCGGGUUGACAGUCUAGUACGAAUAAGGAUCGGCUAACUCCGUGCCAGCAGCCGCGGUAAUACGGAGGAUUCAAGCGUUAUCCGGAUUUAGUGGGUUUAAAGGGUGCGUAGGCUGUUUGAUAGGUUAGAGGUGAAAGCCCGGGGCUGAACGCCGGCACUGCCUCUGAUACUGUCGGGCUAGAGUGUAGUAGCGGUAGGCGGAAUGUAUGGUGUAGCGGUGAAAUGCAUAGAGAUCA
rnacentral:rRNA from 1 species